GGAAGAUGAAGACUUCUGUCAGGGGACACUGGGGGGAGGAGCCCUUUGAGGUAUGGAUAGCAAUAAGGAUGGGUACCCUACCAUGUGAUGAGCUGGUCACGGCCCUUCUGGAAGGGAGAGGAACACACACGAAGAUGCGGAAGUAUUCACGAGCACAGUACAUGCUCCUCCCUGAACGUCAUCAGCACCUGUUCCCCAACUACAAAUAUUCUUCUCACGUGAUCAGCCCACAUAAAUCGGCUGCUCAUUUGCUCCUGCAGAGUUUGUCCAGGUUCAGUGGGAAGAGCAGCAUUCAGAAUAAUGGGGAAAAUGUCUGUGUGCUGGGAGCAAGGUAACUCGAACUGAGGAGGUAGACGCUACGCUUAUGCCUCGCUGUUUUCCUUUCCACACCAGUGUGCUGCACAACCUUGCCUAUGGGGCAUACUUAGACACCCCUGCACCCCAUCUCUAGUUUUGAAGAAUCAGAGGGGCAAUCAUGCUUACUGUAUAGUGUUCUCAUGUCUCGUCUAGCCUGGGAUCUGGCACACAACUGUUCAGUGAUAUCUCUGACAGCAAGCCGGUGAAUUUUUCUGGCCAGCGAGGGGCUCUUUGAGCAGAUAGGAAUGAUCACAGGUGAUUAGAUGGCUCCUCAGGGAGGGAUGUGCACCACGGGUGCUUAAGUAUUUUUUUUUUCAUCCACAUGUGGGGAACCCAUCAGGUGAUGGACCAUUCAAGGAUGCUGUAGCACGGCAAGAAGCUAAGGUUCUGUUGAGACCCCUUGGACCUGCCUUGUGUCUCAAGAAAAAAACUGCCAUCCAACAUUUGUGCAGUUGCUUCAGUAAUUUCCCAGUGCCUUCUUGGGAAUGGGAGGGGGAAGACUCAGCCAGAUGCAUGCUUUUAAAAAUAAAUCAUGCACGAGAAAGAAGAAUAA
rnacentral:lncRNA from 1 species